rnacentral:rRNA from 1 species
UGAAGCACGAAAGCGUGGGGAUCAAACAGGAUUAGAUACCCCUGUAGUCCACGCAGUAAACGAUGAUUACUAGGAGUUUGCGAUACAAUGUAAGCUCUACAGCGAAAGCGUUAAGUAAUCCACCUGGGGAGUACGCCGGCAACGGUGAAACUCAAAGGAAUUGACGGGGGCCCGCACAAGCGGAGGAACAUGUGGUUUAAUUCGAUGAUACGCGAGGAACCUUACCCGGGUUUGAACGUAGUCUGACCGGAGUGGAAACACUUUUUCUAGCAAUAGCAGAUUACGAGGUGCUGCAUGGUUGUCGUCAGCUCGUGCCGUGAGGUGUCGGCUUAAGUGCCAUAACGAGCGCAACCCUUAUCACUAGUUACUAACAGGUGAAGCUGAGGACUCUGGUGAGACUGCCAGCGUAAGCUGUGAGGAAGGUGGGGAUGACGUCAAAUCAGCACGGCCCUUACAUCCGGGGCGACACACGUGUUACAAUGGCAUGGACAAAGGGCAGCUACCUGGCGACAGGAUGCUAAUCUCCAAACCAUGUCUCAGUUCGGAUCGGAGUCUGCAACUCGACUCCGUGAAGCUGGAUUCGCUAGUAAUCGCGCAUCAGCCAUGGCGCGGUGAAUACGUUCCCGGGCCUUGUACACACCGCCCGUCAAGCCAUGGGAGCCGGGGGUACCUGAAGUCCGUAACCGCAAGGAUCGGCCUAGGGUAAAACUGGUGACUGGGGCUAAGUCGUAACAAGGUAGCCGUACCGGAAGGUGCGGCUG